rnacentral:lncRNA from 1 species
CGACCAUCUGUUGAUCGCUACUGCGGACCGUUGUGAUGAGAUGUACGUGCAUAAUCGCUUUUUUCAACUGCAACGAAGUAAAGAUCCGUAUCAAACACAAGGUCUUUAAAAAGUCUAUAGAAGAGCAACAAAACGGAUUUCAUGUAGGAGAUGCGAUCACUCUCCAUCCCCCCCUCCGUUCCACAACAUCUAAACCGUUUACGCUAUACAACAUUUCAAUCUUAUUAUAUACUGAAAAUUCGCGUAUCGAAACGCCCACGGACUUAAAAACGUUUACUACCCUAAGUGAGAAAAAUGUUUAAACCCAUACCGGCAAAAGUACACACUUAGGAAAUCCUUAUCCUGAUUGAUGUAUUUCUAUCCCCCCCCCUCCUACCCUUUUUUUUUUGUGUGUCUGCCUCCGAUUCCCCAAUCUACAGUACACAUAUAGUUAAGCAGCUUAUUAUAGCCGAUUGAGGGCAACAGAAACGAAGAAGGACUUUUGGCAAUUCCAAAGCUAUAUAUCUAUAAUAAAGGGGCUUAUGGAUAAUAUAGCGAAUGUAGUUUUUUCUGCGACUGAUUCAUUUGUUGUUCUAUAUAGACGAGAUGUUGUACGUGUACGAUUUUUCACGCGCCCUUGAUUGAGAUUGGGGCAACGCGGAAUUUUUCAAUAAUUAAAACAUUCUCGUCCAUACAGUUGCCCUGAUUGCUUUACCGUCUGAUUGAAACACGUAUCAUUUUCUUAUAUGUGCACAUUGAUCACAUAUGCUUGCCAAAAUGGAAGAUAUAGUCAACUUUCACGCCCCUGGAACUAAUUACCCGUAACCAAUUGGCAUAUAACUGCGCCUUUGCACUGUGUGCAAUACGCGGCCAGGCCUUAUUCUCGAUCCGUUCAGCGGAAAUAUACAGGCCAGUGUGGGCGUGAUGAGAUUCCACUUAAUCAACAUUUUGAAGCGUAUAGGACAUAUUCAUUUUUAAUAUAAAAGGACAUUUAAAAAAAAAUUAUUAGCCGAAACUUCUUAUUACAACAUAAAAAGUUGAAAUGAAUGCUGUCCAGGGGAUGGUGUCAGACACGCACGACCAGUGGCAAGUGUAAUACAAAUGAAACACCAAAGAACAGAGUUUGAUAGGAAUUCUCGAGAUUCCUUUGGUCUCCAAAGGAAAGUUCUCCCCCCCCCCUUCCUCUCUUUCGUCCAUUGUUUCCACUAUUACUAAUCAGACACACGUAUGUAGCCCAGGCAACUGGACGCGCUGGGGUUCAAGCAUUGCCAAAACUUUAUAUAUCAUCAGUCUUUCUCUCUCUGUCUGCCUGAGAGAUAGAGGGAAUGUAGAGUCCAUAUACGUUUAUGCUCUGAAGCCGGGAAUUCAUUGCUGGAGGAACAGUGCAUAUAUUCUAUUCAACUCUUCGUAGAAAAGUUUUCUCCGUGUGUGUGUGUGUGUGUGUACAUAACUUGUGUCUAUAUAUGUGUGUGUGUAUGCUGGUGGGAUCUAUAUGGCAUUACUAUGGGGAUUUUCGGUACCACUGCGUACAGUAGCGAAUAAUAAUAACACGUCUGGGCGAUUGAAAAAAAAAAAGGAUCGACAUGUGUCGUCUAUAUUCGUGACACUUUUUUGUUUUUUUUAUAUUCCCUUUCUCUAUAUGACGCCUGUCGCCUUUUCUUCCUUUUUGCAAAAUAAAAGUCUAGAGAAAAGUUUUUCUUUCGAUCGAAAAGUUUUUCUUGGGGAGGGGAAUCUCAUCACUCGGGGAUCAGCUUUUCAUUUUUCCAGGACGAUUGAUAUAUUAUAUGUUAUCGAUCCGUACCGAAGGCGGAUGUCUUGCUUUUUUUCGUGUUGACAUUUGUUUUUUGUUUUGUUUUUGUUUUCUUCCGUGUGUAGUGUGAAUUUCUACCGCUAGAUGGCAUAAUCAUUUUUGACAUUCCUCGGAAGAAAACGGGCGUUUGGUAGAAAUGACUGCGUUAUUACCUAAUAUCGUCAUAUCAACAUUUACUGCCUGGUUAGAAACAUGGACAUCAAAAGACAUACGGACCUUUUUCGUGCUACACUCACGCAUUACGGACACGUUCAACGAACGGAAUAUACGCACGUUUAUUGUCACGCUUUCAUCCAUCACGCCUACGUCGUUCCCCUCCGUUUUGUCAACAUUACAUACACCGAAAGGCGUCGUCUUCCAUCUUUUUCGUAUUUGACGCUAUUUUUCUGUACCCCCGGUUCGGCUAUAUUGGAACGCAGGCCAGCAUGUAGGCUUCUGGAAUGAUGGAACUAUCACGCUCGUUAUUGAUGACACACCGCCCUCUUUCCCAUGUCGUAUACCCGAGGCCUAUAACCAGGAGAAAAAUAAACAUAAAUACACGAAAAAGAAAAAGAAAAAGAAAAAAGAAAAAUAAAUAGUGAAAACGUUAUGUAUUUUCUUGGCCAUGCCUCUGCGUGUAGUCACGUGACAACAUUGUCCUAUUUAUUUAUCGUUGGCGGUUUUUGCUUUGUGUCUCUAAAAGAUAUACGAUUUGGGCUGUAAUCGUUAUAUAGCCGUUAAGACAAGACGAAUUGCGUUUCUGGGAACGGGAGAGGUGGGAGCGACAAAGACACGCCCAUUUUUACCACACGAGGUCGAAUGCAAUAAUGAGUAAGUUAUAGAUUGUCGUGAGUUUUACUUUUAUUCCCGCUGUCAAAGAGGUAUGUCCCUUGAUUUUUUUCGUUUCGUAAUCGGGAUUGCUAAGGAUAAAUGUAAAAUUUGUCGAUUGAAUAAAUGUCGUUGAUUUACUAUUCGAAUGCUAGAUGGCGACACCAUAUGGAAGCUGAUUAUUCAAUAAUGAUUCAGUUUUUCAAAAUGGCUCCAUAUACGCGGAACAAUGUAUACAUUGUGCUCAUCGAUGGAAAAAAAUUACCUAAUCGAUUUUCUGAUAAUAACUUCAACAAUGGAGAUGAAACUUGCCCAACCGGUCUCUGUAAUGGAACUCACAAUUGACCAAUGAGUUAGUGCUGAAAGAAAGUGAAAUGGUCAACGAAGAUGCCGACAUGUCUCUCGAAAACAACGAACUGCUUACUAAGAAAAUCAAUGGAUUGAUUGUGUUGCAAAGGCGUUGCAUUCUGAACGACUUAUUUUGUACGGAUUUCGUCAACUUUUAGUGGAAGUUCGACUUUCGGCAAAUAAGGGAAUAUGCAAAGCCUAUUAGCUACUACUCUUACUGGUAACUAAAAACUAAUCAUACCAAAGCCUGAAAAGAAUGUACGAUUGCGCUGUGAGAAAAUAGGAUAUGGAAAUCCUCUACAGCCUGGUUUGUCAUUUAAUAAUUUAUUUUUAUUUUUAUUUUUUGCUCGUUACUUAAUAAUUUGUCUUCAUUUUAACGUACAACUUUGGACUGUAUUAAAAACCAAAGUUUCAUGAAGAUUCUGUUCUGACAGAGGGUGUUUCAUAGAAUAAUAUCUAUCUGACUAUCUCCACAAGAGGCGCUGAAAACUGUUGCGCAUUAGGCCUCCGUGAAAAACAUAGUAGGCCUACCAGGAUAAAAAAAUUUUCAGUAUUUUGCAUGAGCUUUCGUAGUUUUGGACGCAGGAUGUCGAAGAAGUUUUAAGAACCUGUUCAUGUUCGCCAUGCACGUUUUACAAUCAACUAGCCGAAUAUGGAUGAAAUGUCAUGCCUCGCAAAUGAGAAAAAUUGGUUUGAGUGAUGCGUCUUAUAUGCCUCACCUGAGGUUCCAGAUUGAAUCCAAUUAUUUUAAACCACAUUGUAUGCAGUUAUAACCUUAUGUCAAUGAUCCUGUCAAGAAAUUCCAUCUGAUCAUUUGAAAGAUUCUUGCCAGUGGGGCUGGAUACUGUUUUCGAUCACAACUGCUAACUGCUUAUUUCAGCUGUUCCAGAGUGUUAAAACAUUACUAAAUCAAGUACUUAGAGGUGGCUGCCCAUGACAAAAGAAGAGGCCCUUAACACAAAAUCAACGUCAGUCGUCCAGGACGUUAUCGAAGAGAUUAGUGGAAUGAUCGCCAUUAGAUCCGACCAGGAAAUGGAGGAAUAUUCGCUGUAUUAGAUGGCAGUAAGAAUACAUCCUCGGCGUCACAUCUGUGCUGCUGCAGAAAAAUCAGCAAAUGAUUUCUGAAGCAGACGAACUGUAUGACUAACUCAAUUUUGCCCAUUGUUUUGAAAAGUACUGUCACUGGCAUCACCAUCUAGCGGAAUUCUGACAGGAAAAUAGCUUUUUUUUUUUUUUCAAUAACACGUUUUGUGUAAAAAAUUUACAUGAUUUGGAUUCAAAAUUCAACAACAAUUACAAAAAAACAAUACAAUUUACAAAACAGUCGGACUUACUUCUUUUAUGGAGAAGUGAGAGGAUUUUAAGUUGGGUUUCAAAGUAGAUGGAGCCACUGCUGCAUAUUUUCAAGACAUGACAGAACCUGUUUCAUUUCUGGUUUAGCGUCCACGGAGAAUACCUGCGUCAUUAAGUUCUUGUUAAAAUUACACUCCUGAUGUCGUGUGGUUUUACCUGGAAUUUAGCGUCUCAGAACUGUGCUCGAUGUGCUGUGAUGGCCACAGGACCCUGUUUGUGACAGAAUGCAAUGCCACAGAUGUUUUGUUGCCACUGUAAAUAAAAGAUCUUUAGUGUCA